GAUCAAGCUAUGAAGGGCAUGCGGUGGAUUCCCAGGCAGUAAGAAGUGAUGAAAGACGUGGUUGGCUGCGAAAAGCCCCGGCGAGUCGCCAAACAGACUGUGACCCGAGGAUUUCUGAAUGAGGAAACUCUCUAGGAGUAACUUCCUAGAAUCUUGCAAUGAAUACAUAGUUGCAUGAGGCGAACGGGGAGAAGUGAAACAUCUCAGUAUCCCCAGGAAUAGAAAUCAAUCCAGAGACUCUCUUAGUAGCGGUGAGCGAAACGAGAUCAGCCCAAACCAAUCAUGCUUGCAUGGUUGGGGUUGCGGGACUCACUACACGAAGUUACAAAAUUUUUUCUUAGCCAAACAGUAUGGAACGGCUGACCAAAGAUGGUGAAAGUCCAGUAGGCGAAAAGAAAAAAUCUUCUGUGAGUAUCCCAAGUACGACGGGACACGUGGAAUCUUGUCGGAAUCCGGGAGGACCAUCUCCCAAGGCUAAGUAUUCCUUACUGACCGAUAGUGGACCAGUACCGCGAGGGAAAGGUGAAAAGAACCCCAAUGAGGGGAGUGAAAUAGAACAUGAAACCGCAUGCUUACAAGCCGUACGAGAGCUAUGCCCGCAAGGGAGAGGCUUGAGUACGUACCUUUUGCAUAAUGAGUCAGCGAGUUACUGUCUGCAGCAAGGUUAAGCCGUUCAGGUGGAGCCGAAGCGAAAGCGAGUCUUAAAAGGGCGAUUUAGUUGCAGGCAGCAGACCCGAAACCCGAUGAUCUACCCAUGGCCAGGAUGAAGCGUAGGUAACACUACGUGGAGGUCCGAACCGACGUCAGUUGAAAAUGCCGCGGAUGAGCUGUGGAUAGGGGUGAAAGGCUAAUCAAAUCGGGUGAUAGCUGGUUCUCCUCGAAACAUAUUGAGGUAUGGCCUUGGAUCUUUAAUAACGGAGGUAAAGCACUGAAUAGGCUAGGGGACUUACCCGUCUACCAAACCUAAUCAAACUCUGAAUGCCGUAUAUUUUAAUCCAGGAGACAGACUGUGGGGGAUAAGCUUCAUAGUCGAGAGGGAAAGAGCCCAGAUUACCGUCUAAGGUCCCUAAAUAUUUGCUAAGUGGUGAAGGAAGUGGGAUCGCUAUGACAACCAGGAAGUUGGCUUAGAAGCAGCCAUCUUUUAAAGAAAGCGUAAUAGCUCACUGGUCGAGCGAACCUGCGCCAAAAAUGUAACGGGGCUAAAGCAAAUUGCCGAAGACGUAACUGUAAAAUUCUUGCGAGAGUUUUACGGGGUAGAGGAGCAUUCUCUAGGAGAUACACGGUAGACCGUAAGGACUGCUAACGGCCUAGAGAAGAGAUUAUGCUGACACGAGUAAACGUUAAAACGGGUGAAAAACCCGUUCGCCGGAAGUCUCAGGGUUCCUGGGUAAAGUUAAUCUUCCCAGGGUUAGUCGGGUCCUAAGUGGAGGCCGAAAGGCGUACGCGAUGGAAAUCAGGUUAAUAUUCCUGAACCGACUUUUGUUCGUUGAUCUAAGGAGUUACGGAGAAGGCUAAGUCAGAUGGGUGUUGGAUAUCCCAUUUCAAGGUCGUAGGGCGAGUGCGUAGGCAAAUCCGCGCGUUCAUUAAACCCGAGAUCCGAGUACGAGAGCGAAAGCUCAUAAAGUGACUGAUGCCCAGCUUCCGAGAAACACUUCGUAAGGAGAACAAAGGCCGACCGUACCGCAAACCGACACAGGUAGACAGGACGAAAAUUCUAAGGCGCUUGAGAGAACCAUGGUUAAGGAACUCGGCAAAAUCACUCCGUAACUUCGGGAGAAGGAGUGCCCACUAUUGUGAAGGAUUUACUCC
rnacentral:rRNA from 1 species